rnacentral:rRNA from 1 species
GACGACGCUGGCGGCGUGCCUAACACAUGCAAGUCGAACGGAACUCUUUGGAUCAAGACUUCGGUCAAGUGAGAUUGAGUUUAGUGGCGGACGGGUGAGUAACGCGUGAGGAACCUGCCUUUCAGAGGGGGACAACAGUUGGAAACGACUGCUAAUACCGCAUAACGCGUAGAGAUCGCAUGGUCUUUACGCCAAAGAUUUAUCGCUGAGAGAUGGCCUCGCGUCUGAUUAGCUAGUUGGUGAGGUAACGGCCCACCAAGGCGACGAUCAGUAGCCGGACUGAGAGGUUGACCGGCCACAUUGGGACUGAGAUACGGCCCAGACUCCUACGGGAGGCAGCAGUGGGGAAUAUUGGGCAAUGGGCGCAAGCCUGACCCAGCAACGCCGCGUGAAGGAAGAAGGCUUUCGGGUUGUAAACUUCUUUUGUCGAGGAAGAGUAGAAGACUGUACUCGGCGAAUAAGCCACGGCUAACUACGUG